CCCCUCUAAGGAUCACACCGGAGACUUUCCAGUACUCUCCCAAUCUCGGCUAUGGGAGGGAGAGUCAAGCAGAGGCAUACCCAUUCCAUUCCUAGCUUGGGCAGUGGCUAGUGAGUGGAAGGCAAUCUGCUAUAAGU